UUCGUGUCACAGCACUGACACAUGAUUAUGAAAACGACUCGAUGUGACGGACUUUCCCACAUGAAAAAAAAAAAAAACGAAACAAAACUUGUGAAUUUUUGCAGAAAUGCCGUGUGUGUACGUGUGUGACCCCUGACAGACAGAUGUUUUUAUCUCCACUCUCUUCGCAGUGGUUUUAAGUGACUCUUCACUUUGUGUCCUGUGAGUUUGUGUGUGUGUGUGUGCGUGUGUGUGUGUGUGUUUUCUCUCUAUACAGGCCUUCAUUUACUGUUCAGGAAAAAAAAAAAAAUACUUGACUUAAGAAGCUCAGACUGAAUCAGGGUCUGAACGAGAGGGGCGGUAUUUCAAAGAACGCAGUUUGUACACAUUCCGGUACAUUUUCUACGUACAAGUGGCCAUGUUUGAUUUUAGUUGAUGUGCUUUCACGAUACGGAAGAAACACUGAAGAAAAAAAAAAAAAAGAAGAAGAAGAAGAAUCGUAGCAUUUAAAUAUCAAUGUGUUUGGUGUCCAGCGGUAGUUUUUUGUAAAUUCCUUAUUUGGUUGUGUUUGUUGUAUGAAAUAAUUUGUGCUAGGAUCUGGACAAAACGGUGCAAAAAAAAAAAAGAAAAAAAAGGAAAAAAAAUUCACAUAUCCAGAUCCGUUUGAUUAAAUACAAAAAACCACGAGAAGAAAGACGAGAAAGCUGGUUUUAGAUUCUGCCAAAGCAUUUAUGGAUGAAACUCGACGUUUCCUCCGAUCACUGAUGACCUUUCAACCCUGAAAACUUUUCCAAUCGAGACGUUUUCCCUCGAGGAAGAGUCGAACAUGUUUUUGACAUCUGUUCGUAUUUACAGACGUCUGCUUUCCAUUUUUGAUUCAUCGGUAAAUCCUCAACAAUCUUCAUAAUCUUCUUAGUUCGACACAAAAACACACGUCGCCGUCUGCUUCCUGUCAGUGUCGUUUUUUCAUACUUGACGGUAAAAAUCCAUGGAUGUAAUUUUUUAUUUUCCUUACACACACAAAGCGAUUAAUUAUUCUGUGCAGCCCUAGUUAGUUAGUAUGAAAAUAUCAAGUCACUUAAAGCCUCAAUCCGUGUCAUAUUUGCUGCUGUUUUCCUCUCAAACAUCCAUAUUUUAUAAGUCAGCUGUUUGAUAGUUCGCAAUGUCACUUCAUGUCUGUAACCACAAAGAAUCUCGAUGCAUUUUUACACAGGCACAGGCAACCUCUACGUGGAGCACGUAUUUAGACUCACAUGAAGAAGUUAGUACUUUUAAUGAUAUAUAUAUUUUCCUCAAAAGCUGUUUUUGUGUUCGCGCUAUAUCUCCUUCUUCUAGACUUCAGCUUGCCCGUCGUUUAAAGCACUUUAUGUUCGUAGUUUUUUCUCCUUUUUUCGUAUUUUGACCCCAAAUUAAGAUUAUGCAGAAAAAUUAGGUUUGUUUAAGAUUUAAACCUCAGUUUGUGUGUUUAGUUUCGUGUUCAAAAAGAUCCCAAAUUAAGACAAAUUCUCAUCAGAUGCAGUAUUUACUUUAUUUUUCUCUUUUUAGACCGAGAAGUCAGGCCUGGUGUCCACGCUGCCCAAAGAAAAUCCACACUCGCGCGCAAGUAGCUGCGAUUUGACCCCCGGUUUGCCCCCAAUUUACACGUGUCACACGAGUUAUCGCCUCUUUUCAGAGCUCCCGUCCCCCGCCUGUUGCGCCGCCUCUUAUUUCCACCUCACAUUUUCCUCAUGAAUCUAUUUAUCUGUAAGUUUGGUGUCAUUGUGAGGUUGAAUACUUCCCUCAGAGGUGACUCGACGCCUAUUAAAAGAAACACAAACGCUCCCGUGACAUCAAUUUAAAAGUAAAGGCCAACGCAGAGGCGUGUUUUUCUCAGCCGCACAUACGUUUUCCUCGUGCGGCGCGUGUCCAGAUUCUGACCUCAGCUGAUGAGAAAAAAGAGAAAAAAAAAAACCCCUCCCCCGUCUGCCAGCUCUUCUGGGCCUUUUUGCACCCGUGUAGCUCCGUUUGCUAGCAGGUGAUUUGUUGCUGUUGUGUUUAGACCCCUUGCUAGGGAAAGAAAAAAAAAACACUGUUCUGUGCUCACGGCUCUUUGCAGCGCUGCACCUGUGCUGUUGUCGAACACUGUAUUAUUUUCUAUAAGCACCAUCCAUAAUUCACACGCUGGGGCAUCAAAUAUUAAGAGGAGAGAUGGAGCUGAGAGGUCAGGAGGCUUGCUUCUCGUGUUCUCCUCCACAGACCCUCGCUCCUUUCUCCCUUUACUCACAUUAGAAUCGUUUUCUUUCCUGCUGAAAGCGAAAACAGUCUCUUUUACCCAUUUUCAAGUUGGAUUUUCAAGCUUUUUGGACGACUUAGCUCCCCAAACUGCUUCUACUUGAUCUCAUUUUUCAGGAAACGUGUCUUGCAAAGGCAUCUAAGCAUUUACAAAACGGAGUAUUGUCUUUUUAUUGUUCCGAAUCAGCACUGACUCCAUUCUCUCUGUCACUGUACGGUGGUGUUGUUUUUUAAUGUAAAUCUGCAGUUACUGUAUUGUGUUUGAGACGAAGCGAGACGCCACUUCUCCUCCUCCUCCUCCUCCUCCUUCGCAUCAGUGAAACAAAGCCUUCAGUUUUCUUUCACGUCUUUUUUUCCUCCAGCAGUUUCUUCUCACUCCUGAAGUGGAUAUAAAAAUAUUGCUUUCGUUUUUUGUGCAAUCUGUGACAUCUUGCACUUGUGCGCCACCGUCUCAGAAGCCCCUUCUCGCGGCUCUCUCUUACAGCGUUACGAUUUUCAUUUAAGGAUUAAGUCUUUUGAGAUCGUGUGGAACUUUUUCUUUCUAAAAUUAAACUGCGUGUUUUUUGUUUUUUUUCUUUUAUGCACAGCCAAGGUCCUCCAAGGGGCCGUAACGUCUUUUCUUUAAGCAGUAAAAGUAACUUAACAGCACCAGCUUCUACUUAUGCUCAACAAACUCUAUGUACAUAUAUAUAAAGUUAUAUAUGAAUAUAUAUGAUGGGUCUUUGCACACAUUGUCUCCGUGUCUGCUCCAUGUGAUUUAAACAGGAAAAAAAAACGAAAAAACGUUAAAAAAAAAAACAAACGGUGAAGGAAGAUUCAGAAAAAAAGACUUUAUAUAUGCUUUACAGUUCUUUGUCUCAUUAACAUUUUGCACUUAUUUAAAGAGGCUUACUUCUGUUUCUGGGCUGAUAGAGCUGUUUUCACGCUCGGCCAAGAUAUUGUACAAUAUGUAUAUGUAUUUUUAUUCAUAUGCAUAUAAAUAUAUGUCUAUGUAAUUUGC